ensembl:lncRNA
CCCCGCCCCCGCGGCCGAGCCCGGGAGUCGAGUGGGAGUCGGCCGGCCGGCGCGGGCAGCGCCGGGACCCCACAGGGGACACUGCAGCCGGAGCCCGGGAGGGGCCGCGCCGCCACCGUCUGAACUAGGAUGUCCCGACAUGAAGGGCCGUGGUACCAACCAGCAGUCCAGCAGACUUGGCCAGUAGCCAUGCCACAAGAGGUAUCAGGGAGAAAGUAUGGAUGGAUUCUUGCAAAUCCAUCACUACUGUGCGAAAAAUCCAACUGAAGUCAAUCACAGGAGUGGGUCAGUCAAGUCACCUUCAGCAUGGAGGGACAGACAUUAAGUGGGUGAAGCCUCUUGACAUCAUGACUAAUUAGGCUUGCACAUUUUCUUCUGCUGGAAUGUGUGUGUGUGUGUGUGUUUUCCUUCUCUUGCCAGUAGUCAGUGCCGCCGUCAUGAACUUCAGAUUUCUCUGUAGUCAGAGCAUCUUCAUUCAGAGAGCCACUUUAGAGCGCUAACUUGAUGAGCUGACCGUUAGAACAGUUGCAGGUAUAUUAGACUGUAAUUUUGGUUUUGACUUCUUCUACCUUUGUUCUGUAAGACUCUUGUCACUCUCCCCACCCACCCAACGAAGUUAAGUCCUUCCGAUAGCACUCGUGCAUCAUUCUCCAGGCAUUUUUUUUAUGCUGUAAUUGUUCACUUGUCUGGCUGCCCCACAUAGGUAUAGUGUUAUAUCUCUGUAUGCUACCACCUAGCGUAAUAGUGUCUGGCCUUUGGGAGGCCCAGUAAACAUUUGGGAGUGACUGUUAGAGAUGUUUAAUAAUUGUCUUAAAAAAUGGUAAGACUGGAAAGUGCAUCCCUGCUUUUGUACGGGGAGACUGGUUAGGAGGAAAAGAGUAUAGGAAAGAGAACUUGGAACUUUCAUAAAAGUAAGAGGGGAUGAGUAAACUGUGUGUGCAUAGAAUGAAAAUAACUUAGGGUAGCUGACUCCUUGGGGAAUGGCCUGAGACUGGACACCAAGGUGCUGUUUUGUUCUCCCUCUGGCUCUGGUUUCAGAUUAACUGGCUGUGAAGAUCUGCAUGUUAAUUGGCACUGUGUGUGAGCUUCCUGCUUCAUUCAGUCUUUCAUUCAGAGAAUAUUUAUGGCUACCUACUCAAGUACCACUCCAAGUCAUCUCCAGAGCUGGCCACAAGUUGUUGACCCUUGCUGCAGGAUGAUAAUAUUCAGUGGCUUAGAAACACAUGUUAGGGAAUUACAUUCUUUCCUGUUGCAUAGGUUGUGGCUCUUUUCCAGUGUGCUCAAAUUAGUCCUUGAAGUUUAUAUUUUAUGACAGGGUAAUUAAAUCAUGGAAGUGUUUUAAUGUUUUGGCAAUAUUUGUACCCCUCUCCCUUUUUUUUAAACAUUAUUUUCAUUCAGGCUUCACAGUCACUUCUAAUUCUGCCAGCAGUACAUUUUGUUCUCUAACAAUAUUAUCCUUAAACUUAAGGUCUCAACACACAUCUGCACACGUAAGUAUCUUUUUGAUACUUAGCAAAGAGAGCUCAAGGUAUUAAACUUUUUAUAUUCCGUAUAGUGUUUUGUUUUUUUUUUUGGUGUGUGGCAUCCUUAUGGUUAUAUAGCAACUGUUGGGGUGAGUAACUGGACCCUACUUCCUUCUGGUAUUCUUCCUCAACCAGCAUUCUCCUUUGGUGUUCUCUGUGGUUGUAGAGUUUUGACAGUGAGUGCAAAGAAAUGAGAAACUUUCUAAAUCAGGAGUUAAAGACACUGAAGUGAAAUGGGCAGGGAUUAUAUAAAGGAGUUGUUAGAAAUGUGUCCCUUCUCUGUAAGAAUGAAAUACAUGCUGGGAGGUGGGGGGUGGUGGGAACCAGGUAGUUUUCAUAGUCAGAGAUCAUGUUCAUUCUUAUUAACACUGCUAGCAAUUCCGAUAGUUAAUUGCAAUUUGAAAUGAAUUUCAUGUGUUUUAUAGCUACAGAUAUGAGUAUACAUAGUAGUCACUGAGGGCUUCCCUGGUGGCCCAAUGGUAAAGAAUCCACCUGCCAGUGGAGAAGACCUGGGUUCUAUCCCUGGGUGGGGAAGAUUCCCCUGGACAAGGAAAUG